GAAUCUCAAACGUUAGUAUUCGCCCAAGAUUUUACCGUGAGGAAUUUAGACAUUCUGCUCACGUUGUAAUCUGUGACUAUCGUUCAGAGCCAGGGAGCAUAAUUAGCAGCGGUUGUGCCAUUUCCUCUUUCAAGUUACACGAAGCUCCGUGAAAUAAAUAUGAGCUCUUUUGUCAAGCUCACCGUUCUUGUUUUAGCGGCAGUAGCAAUUGGUACCAACCAGAAUUGCGUCAUUGCGUGUGGAAAAGGAGGUGGAGGUGGUUCUUCGCCAGUACAUGGCAAAUGGGGUUCAUGGCAGCCAUCAAGCUGGGCCCAAACUCAGUGCUCAAAUGGGUACAAGACCCGGUAUCGCAAAUGUGAUAGUCCUUCCCCAAAAUGCGGGGGGCGUUCCUGCAGCGGAAGUAGUAAUCAGAAGACAGAAUGCAAUGGAUGUAUCCCUGGCAACGGAGGAUGUGACCAGAUUUGUAAGAGCUAUGGUGGUUCUUCUCGAUGUAGCUGCUUUCCUGGUUAUCAUCUUUCAGGGAAUCAAAAAAGUUGCGAACGUAAGUGACUCUGCCUUAUUUGUUGUUAUGUUUGUAAUGGGCAUAUAGGUACAGUCUAACAUCCAGUAAAUAUUCCUUGAUCUGAUAACAAUAAACUUCAUUCUUUAACUGUGCAUAGGAGCGCACAACAACGAGAAAAAUCUUUAUAUUCCUUUAUUU